AAAAAGGACAAGGCUGCCAGAAGAUGUUGCAUAUGGAACAGAAGAUUCUUGCCCUGGAAGAAGGAAUAGAGGAGAUGAUACCUCCCUUCUGAACAUCUCAGCACCCCAUCAAGAGAACUUCAGGUCUCUGCCAUUUAGACGUGUCAUUUGUAAGUAAAAUAAAUCAGGGAAGUAAUAGGAGGAAAGCUAAGAAUGAAAGGAAUUCAUCACCACUGCAAAUUUGUCCCUGAAGCAAGGUCUUUUCCUGAUCCAGGAGAUAUUCAACUGAGUCUGGCACCGUUUAAGGUCUGAUAGGAGAUAUUUACCACCUAUUACUCUUUCUGAAGGCUGCUACCAGAAGGCUUCAUCUUCAUAACAAGAACCUUGGCCUCCACAACCCUCCUUAUCUUAACCCUAAGCAUUUCUGUCUUAACUCCUUAGAAAGAAACUUAACUGUUUCAACCAACUGCCAAUCAGAACACCUUUGAAUUCAACUAUCAGCUGUAAGCCCAACACCCUCCUUGAAGUUGUCCUACCUUUCUGGACCAAAUGAACAUAUACGUUACAUACACUGAUUGAUGUCUGCCUAUAAAUUCUGUCCCCCUAAACUGUGUAAAAUCAAGCUGUAACCCAACCACUGUGUUUGGAUACAUGUUCUCAGGACCUCCUGAGGCUAUGUCAUGGGUCAUGGUCCUCACAUUUGGCUCAGAAUAAAUGUCUUUAAAUAUUUUACAGAGAUUGGCUUUUUUUUCUUUUUUCUUUUUUUUUUUUUUUUUGUUUGUCAACAGCAUAGAAACAUCCAUACUAAACAUACCUGGCAGAAGGUCAGUGCAUCUCUCCC
rnacentral:lncRNA from 1 species